rnacentral:rRNA from 1 species
UACGUAGGGUGCUAGCGUUGUUCGGAAUCAUUGGGCGUAAAGCGCGUGUAGGUGGUUAAUAAAGUUGAUUGUGAAAUCCCUCGGCUCAACCGAGGAAGUGCAGUCAAAACUAAUUAGCUUGAGAGUGGUAGAGGAAGGUGGAAUUCCUAGUGUAGAGGUGAAAUUCGUAGAUAUUAGGAGGAAUACCGGAGGCGAAGGCGGCCUUCUGGACCAUUUCUGACACUGAGACGCGAAAGCGUGGGUAGCAAACAGG